rnacentral:rRNA from 1 species
UGAGGAACAUGACUUUCGGCGGGGGAUAGCCGGCCCAACGGCCGGGUAAUACCGCGUACGACCUCUCGGGGACAUCCCCGGUUGGUGAAAGCAGCAAUGCACCGAAAGAGUGUCUCGCGGCCUAUCAGCUAGUUGGUGGGGUAACGGCUCACCAAGGCGACGACGGGUAGCUGGUCUGAGAGGAUGGCCAGCCACAUUGGGACUGAGACACGGCCCUGACUCCUACGGGAGGCAG